UUCCAGACUCCUACGGGAGGCAGCAGUGGGGAAUAUUGCACAAUGGGGGAAACCCUGAUGCAGCGACGCCGCGUGAGUGAAGAAGUAUUUCGGUAUGUAAAGCUCUCUCAGCAGGGAAGAAAUAGCGACCUUUGGGUCGCCAGACAGUACCUGAUUAAGAAGCCCCGGCUAACUACGUGCCAGCAGCCGCGGUAAUACGUAGGGGGCAAGCGUUAUCCGGAUUUACUGGGUGUAAAGGGAGCGUAGACGGCAGCGCAAGUCUGAAGUGAAAUGCCGGGGCUUAACCCCGGAACUGCUUUGGAAACUGUGCAGCUAGAGUGCAGGAGAGGUAAGUGGAAUUCCUAGUGUAGCGGUGAAAUGCGUAGAUAUUAGGAGGAACACCGGUGGCGAAGGCGGCCUGCUGGACGAUGACUGACGCUGAGGCUCGAAAGCGUGGGGAGCAAACAGGAUUAGAUACCCGGGUAG
rnacentral:rRNA from 1 species